CAUUAAAGAGUUCUAUAACUCCCAAACCCAUGUGAACAUACCUAACGUUGCCUCGGCAGGUCGCACCUACCUUGUAGCACCCUACCCUGUAGGGCCUACCCGAGAGAUGCGGGUAAGCCUGCCGGCGGCCCACCAAACUCUGUUUGAUAUUGAAUUCUGAACAUAUAACUAAAUAAGUUAAAACUUUCAACAACGGAUCUCUUGGUUCUGGCAUCGAUGAAGAACGCAGCGAAAUGCGAUAAGUAAUGUGAAUUGCAGAAUUCAGUGAAUCAUCGAAUCUUUGAACGCAUAUUGCGCCCAUUAGUAUUCUAGUGGGCAGGACCGUUCGAGCGUCAUUUCGACCCUUAAGCCUUAGUUGCUUAGUGUUGGGAGCCUACGGCAACGUAGCUCCUCAAAGUUAGUGGCGGAGUUGGUUCACACUCUAGACGUAGUAAUUUUUUAUCUCGCCUAUUAGUUGGACUGAUCCCCUGCCGUAAAACCCCCAACUUAUCAAGGUUGACCUCGAAUCGGUUCAGACAAACUCGCUAAAUUGAAGCAUCUUAGUCAGCGAAGGAAAAGAAACCAACAGGGAUUGCCCUAGUAACGGCGAGUGAAGCGGCAACAGCUCAAAUUUGAAAUCUGGCCCUCGGGUCCGAGUUGUAAUUUGUAGAGGAUGCUUUUGGCGCGGUGCCUUCCGAGUUCCCUGGAACGGGACGCCUUAGAGGGUGAGAGCCCCGUACGGUUGGACACCAAGCCUCUGUAAAGCUCCUUCGACGAGUCGAGUAGC
rnacentral:rRNA from 1 species